rnacentral:lncRNA from 1 species
GGUACCCCAAAUGACGUCCCCUUUACACCUGUACCCGCAAUACGGCAACACCACUCAGUGGUCAACACAGACAUUACAACAUAACUGAAAAACAGGAAAAUGGCUCUUACAAACAAACAGCUUCGCAGCCUUUUCAAAAGACAUAGCCUGCACUGGUGUCAUCCUGAUUCACCACUUCUGUUGUUAUCCCAUUUCUACCCCUUAAAAGUGUGGUCCUUGGAUAGCUUCGUUUCAAGGGCUACGUAGCCUUUUGUCUUCGCCCUACCCCUUUGGCCCGGCCAGACUACACGAUUUCAGCCCGAUUUUGCCCCGAUUCUUUCGUCGCAGACGAAUUUGCGAAUCGUACACGAUUUUGAGGAGUCGGCGACGAGACGAGGUCUUGUAAUGUGACAUGCUUGCGAUCUGCGAUGUUUUCGUCUGCGACGUUCGAAAACCCCACGACGAAAUGUUUGGCAUGUCAGAAUUUUUUGGGGAAUCGCAUGACGUAUACACUGUUGACAUGAGGGAACCACGCCCCCAGUUGCGUGAGGGAAUCCCGCGAACAGCUGGAGCUCACGCGCAGUGUUUACCAACUGCCUUCACUGCACUACGCUGGAGUAACAACCGCAAAAAUGAAUUCGAUCAAGAAGAAUGCUAACAAAGAAAACGAGAGAAAAUGGAGCAACACUAUGGAGACAACCUUGGUGGAAAUGUGGCAGCAACGUCCAUGCAUUUUCGACGUGUCCUCAAAGGACUUUCACGAUAGGGUGAAAAGGGAUAAAGCCUGGCGAGAAAUAGCCGACACCCUUGACCUACCUGUUUUAGAGAUAACAACUAGAGCUGCGUCUCUGCGGACACAGUUUGGCAAACUGCUCCAUCCCAAACCAAGUAGGAGUGGACAGAAGGAUGUCACCCUGACCCCACGAGUCCACAACGGAAGUGGAUCUGUCAGAGUAUGGUUUUUUUGCGGGCACACAUAGCGCAUAGACCAUCACAAACAACACUGAAUUUUGAUGACAGUCAACAAGAGGCCACAGAAAGCAGUGAGGAAGAGACAGAGGCUGAGGGCCCCCCAGCUAUUACCAACCCACCACCACCAUUCCCACCUAGACCUCCACCUGUCCAGGAGUCCAGAGCCCAGAGAAAAAAACGAAAGCCUACAAGGGACGUGGAGAUGGAGAUGGAGAAGGAGAAGGUGGACAUUCUUCGGAAUGUCUCAACAACUUUGCUUGCCGCAGGCCAAGAUGUGGAGGAUAUUUUUGGGAAGCAGGUGGCUUGUGAGCUUAAACAUGUGCAGGACAGAACUAUACGCUUGAGACUACGCCGAAACAUAAUGUUAAUGCUCUAUGAUGCCCAGGAGAAUGAGCAGAGAACAGCUAACCCUGCUCAAACUUCUUGGCCAGAGCAGAGCACAGGGCACACACCUCUGCAAACCCACCACUUCACCCACAACAUGCCUCCACAGCACAGUACUAUGGGCUACAAUUAUGACUAG